GAAACAGAAGCUGCAAUUGCGCGCAUUGUAACUUUGCCAGUGAUUCCGAGAAGGUGCGUUUUUCCGGCGCGGCGACGGGUGUAGAAAUACCGGCCGUCUCGGCUUCCCGAGAGAGGAUCUAUGAUCCUCUCCGGCGGAACGGUGAAGGUGCCGCAGAUGCAAGCUGUGGAUAGAAAGCGUUCGGUGGUCGCGUCAGCCGCACUCGACGCCUUUUAGAAGAUUCGUCGGAAAAAAAAUGUCGUGACCGUGUCAUUUUGUACAUUGGGAUUUGAAACGUCCCGAACAAAAAAAGGCACUCAAUUUUUCAUUUUUCUAGCCUGUCUGCCAACUCCUCUCACUAUGGCUGGCUUGACUUAGCUCACUUUCUUGCCAGGCUCUUGCCAGGCUAUGGCUGGCUUGACUUAUAAAAGCUCACUUUCUUGCCAGUACAUCUCAAAAGCUUGAUAUAGUUCAAUCCUUCUCACUGGCUCCGUGAGCGCUUUCCCGUUUGGGUCUCAAAUAUUUUUCUUCCGCUCAACUUUGAGCUGUCGAUUCGAUUUUAACAAACAGUUGUGUUUAUUAGAAUCGCAAGUCUAC